CUGCCCCUAGUAUCAGUUUUCUAGACAUUUUAUAUACACAGAUUGUUCUGUGUGGUGAGGUAGGAAUUCAUUUAAAUGCUCUUUUGCUCUGUCAGGCAGUUGCACAAGCAGAAUUUCAGAAGGCAGUCACGUGUGUUCAGCGGUGCAAAGAUAUCCUGUUCCGACUGCCAAAGGAGGCCUGCUACCUUUCCUUGCUAUGUUAUAAUUUUGGUGUAGAAACCUAUGAACUGAAAAGAUAUGAGCAGAGUUCCUUUUGGCUGAGUCAGAGCUAUGAAAUUGGAAAGAUGGAUAAGAUGUAUUCAACUGGACAUGAAAUGCAGGCUAAAGUGCUGCGGUUAUUGGCUACUGUGUAUUUGGACUGGGACUACAAACAAUAUCAAGAGAAAGCUCUCAGAGCAGUUACCUUGGCUAAUGAGGUGAUGGAGCUCUACACACAUUUGAAAAACAUGGAGUAUCCAAUGUGUUUGUGCUUUAACUGUGACUGCAUCUACUCAGGGAGGUAUAGGAUGCUCCUCUCCAAAAAGAUGUGGGGUUUCCUGCAGCAGCACCUAGCCCUGGGGGUGCAUUUUGGGCUCAAUGAUACCCUCCCAGUCAGCGUUUGAAAGAGAUACAUGUCUAAUGCAAAAUGACCUUUCUUCUUUAUCCACUACGCCCACUAUAGCUCCUCAGUAGAAAAGAGGCCUUUUUCUUCCUUUUGUUCCCUCUCAAAAUCUACCAGAACUGUGAAGCAGUACUAUNGUGGGAUUAGAGGACAAAAGGAUGUUCAUAGGAACUUCUCCUAUUUAGUAGUAUAAAUUAUCAAUCAGACUCAAUUGGGAUUAGUAAACAGAUUAAAACAUUUAUUGAGAAAAACCCAAGGUUUUCUUGAUCUCNUUGCUAUCAGAUUUAAGACCUCAAGAUAUAGGGCUAAAUUAAAUAAAUAAUAAAUAAAUAAAGCCUGAAGUAAGUUC
rnacentral:lncRNA from 1 species